AGAAGUCAGCAGACUCGUCAUCUGGUCAAGCAGAUUGACGUGACAUUCGGAAGAUUCGGAAUAAAAACACAACAGUGACAAUCGGGCGCUCGUUCAGUGAUUACGUCGAUUAAAUAAACUCACCUCGACGUGUUUUCAAGUGUUGUGAUAAUUUUCUAAUCGAUCAGUACCUCGAUCAAUAGAUCCGACGAUUAUUGACUUAUUUCAAAACCAAGAGAAAAAACAACCGGAACAAAAAUGAAAUCGUUACCACCGACUUACGUGGAAGGUUUCCACGAUUUGGAAGCAGUGAAAGCGAUGGAAUAUAGACCAUUGGGUAAAACCGGUAUGCUCGUAAGCAAAUUAUCUUUCGGUGGUGGACCGUUGGGCUGUCAUUAUGGAUCGUUCGACGAGGCGGAAGCUAUCGAAACGAUAAGAUACGCGAUCCGUCAGGGUGUGAAUUACAUCGAUACCGCGCCGUGGUACGGGCAAGGUCGCUCGGAGGAAGUCAUUGGCAAAGCUCUGCAAGGAAUUCCGCGAGAAGCCUACUACGUUGCAACCAAAGUUGGAAGGUACGAGCUCGACUUUGAAAAAAUGUUUGAUUUCUCGAUAGAGAAGACGCGGAGUAGUUUGAAAAAGAGUCUCGCCUUAUUGCAGCUCGAGUACGUCGACGUUAUACAAGUCCACGACAUCGAGUUUGCACCUUCUCUGGAUAUUAUUAUAACUCAAACGCUUCCUGAGUUGUCGAAACAAGUGAGAGAUGGAAAAGCCAAAUUUAUCGGAAUCACCGGAUAUCCGAUAUCAAUAUUGAAAGAAUGCGUUGAAAAGAGCAAUAUCGCAAUCAGUUGCGUUUUGACGUACUCGAGGUACACUCUCAUCGACGAAACCCUCCUCGAUUUCAUCGAUUUUUUCGAAAAUCAUAACAUUGGUAUUGUCAACGCUGCUGGAGUUUGCAUGGGAAUGUUGACGAACAAUGGACCACCUGAAUGGCACCCAGCACCGAAUGAAGUGCGAGAACAGUGUGCCAACGCGAGGCAAUGUUGCAAGGACCACGACCAAAAUUUGGCGCGAUUAGCCGUAUGGCACUCGAUGCAGUGUCCAAAGAUCGCGACGAAUUUAAUUGGAAUGCAAAAUCUAAGGGACUUGAAGACUAAUCUUGAUAUUAUGAUAAACGGAAUUACUGACAAAGAAAAAGAAGCGCUUCGUGAACUGCGAGAAAAUUCUCGGUAUCAAAGAAUCUUAAAAUGUCUUCUCUGAUAUGAACGACGAAAUAUCUUAUUCCGACCGAUCUUAUAAAACGACCGAUCUCAACUUACACUGACGGACCAAUCAAAAGACAAGUGAACUUCACCACGAGAAUAAUUUUUCAAAAAAAAACAAUGUACAUAUGUCUACGGUACUUUUCAAAGGUCAAAGGCAGCCAUUGGGAAGGUCGUGAAAUCGAGACUUAUCGUAAAGCUAUGAAUCAACGAUUCUAAAAAUGUAUAUAAACAAAAUAUAUACUUAUGUAUUUUUUUAUCAUUUUACAUUUAACGAUAUGUUAUUGUUACUCAGACUGAAACGGUCGACUGUUCAAUAGAAUAGAAAAUCACAAGUUGUUGAUAUCAGUGAGCAUCUUACGUUGUAUUAUUAUGAAAAAAUAUAGUUAAAGUUUUCUUGUUUUCCUUAUUUUAA